rnacentral:rRNA from 1 species
CAGUCGCCACGGGAAUACGGAGGGGGCUAGCGUUGUUCGAAAUUACUGGGCGUAAAGCGCACGUAGGCGGCUUGGUAAGUUAGAGGUGAAAGCCCGGAGCUCAACUCCGGAAUUGCCUUUAAGACUGCCGAGCUAGUAGGUGAGAGAGGUAAGUGGAAUUCCGAGUGUAGAGGUGAAAUUCGUAGAUAUUCGGAAGAACACCAGUGGCGAAGGCGGCUUACUGGCUCAUUCUAGACGCUGAGGUGCGAAAGCGUGGGGAGCAAACAGGAUUAGAUACCCCAGUAGUCCCUGUCUCUUAUAC